GGGGUGUGGACCCACCUGAUUCCAUGCCGAACUCAGAAGUGAAACGCAAUAGCGUCGAUGGUAGUGUGGGGCUUCCCCAUGUGAGAGUAGAAC
rnacentral:rRNA from 1 species